rnacentral:rRNA from 1 species
UACGUAGGCAGCAAGCGUUGUUCGGAGUUACUGGGCGUAAAGGGUGUGUAGGCGGUUCUUUUAAGUUUGGUGUGAAAUCUCCCGGCUCAACUGGGAGGGUGCGCCGAAUACUGAGGGACUAGAGUACGGGAGAGGAAAGUGGAAUUCCUGGUGUAGCGGUGAAAUGCGUAGAUAUCAGGAGGAACACCGGUGGUGUAGACGGCUUUCUGGACCGUAACUGACGCUGAGACACGAAAGCGUGGGGUAGCAAACAGG